rnacentral:RNase_MRP_RNA from 2 species
GGGCAGGGUGGCGAGGUGCUUCGGUCACUCUGAGAUUAGAGACCGAGGAAAGUCCCCGGGCCAAAUAUAGCAGAAAUUGCAUGCUUGAGAGAGCAGGUCUUCGCUUUGGAGAACAUCUGGCGUCCUAGUGGACGGGGCUGAGACACGUGUGGAGCCUUACCUUCCAGAUGAUGCUCGGCGAAGCAGCUGGCCAUGAUUACAGUAAUGCACCUUGUCGAAUCGAUCGACCAACAGAACGGGGCUUACGCCCACCCUGCC